rnacentral:rRNA from 1 species
CGAACGCUGGCGGCGUGCCUAACACAUGCAAGUUGAACGAGAAAGCUCCUUCGGGAGUGAGUAAAGUGGCGCACGGGUGAGUAACACGUGGAUAAUCUACCUUCAGGUUCGGGAUAACUCGGGGAAACUCGGGCUAAUACCGGAUGAGACCACGUCCCUUAAGGGAAGUGGGAAAAGUGGGGGCCCUCCUUGGAGGCCUCAUGCCAGAAGAUGAGUCCGCGGUCCAUCAGGUUGUUGGCGGGGUAACGGCCCACCAAGCCGAAGACGGAUAGCUGGUCUGAGAGGAUGAUCAGCCACACUGGAACUGAGACACGGUCCAGACUCCUACGGGAGGCAGCAGUGGGGAAUAUUGCGCAAUGGGCGAAAGCCUGACGCAGCAACGCCGUGUGUGUGAUGAAGGCCCUCGGGUCGUAAAGCACUGUCGGGACCCAAGAUGGCGGUUAGGGAACAAUACCCCUAGCCGUUGACGGUAAGUCCAAAGGAAGCACCGGCUAACUCU